rnacentral:rRNA from 1 species
UACGUAGGGGGCGAGCGUUGUCCGGAGUUACUGGGCGUAAAGGGCACGCAGGCGGUGCGGCGCGUUUCGCGUGACAGCGGAGGGCUUAACUCUCCGAGGAUGCGAAAGACGGCGGCACUUGAGGGCCAGAGAGGGACACGGAAUUCCGGGUGGAGUGGUGAAAUGCGUAGAGAUCCGGAGGAACACCGAAGGCGAAGGCAGUGUCCUGGCUGGUGACUGAUGCUGAGGUGCGAAAGCUAGGGGAGCGAACGGG